GACGAACGCUGGCGGCGUGCCUAACACAUGCAAGUCGAACGGAGAAUUUAGCAAUAGAUUCUUAGUGGCGAACGGGUGAGUAACGCGUAGACAACCUGCCUUUUAGAUGGGGACAACACCGCGAAAGUGGUGCUAAUACCGAAUGUUGUAUUUUGAUCGCAUGAUCGAGAUACUAAAGAUGGCCUCUAUUUAUAAGCUAUCACUAAAAGAUGGGUCUGGGUGUGAUUAGCUAGUUGGUGAGGUAAUGGCUCACCAAGGCGACGAUCAGUAGCCGGGCUGAGAGGAUGGGAGGCCACACGUGGACUGAGACCCGUACCAGACUCCUACGGGAGGCAGCAGUGGGGAAUCUUCGGAAAUGGACGAUAGUCUGACGGGGCAACGCCGCGUGAGUGAAGAAGGUUUUCGGAUCGUAAAACUCUGUUUUCAGGGACGAAUGUGCAGAUUGUGAAUAAUGAUUUGUAAUGACGGUACCUGAGUAGAAAGCCACGGCUAACUACGUGCCAGCAGCCGCAGUAAAAC
rnacentral:rRNA from 1 species